AGGGUUCGAUUCCGGAGAGGGAGCCUGAGAAACGGCUACCACAUCUACGGAAGGCAGCAGGCGCGAAAAUUGCCCAAUCCUGAUUCAGGGAGGCAGUGACAAGAAAUAACAACUUUCAACUUUGUUGAGAAGUGUAAUGAGGAUAAUUUACAAACCUUACCGAAAGCAAUUGGAGGGCAAGUCUGGUGCCAGCAGC
rnacentral:rRNA from 1 species